UGCAACGCAAUAACUGCAACACGGUUUUC
rnacentral:piRNA from 1 species